rnacentral:misc_RNA from 1 species
UAGAGUUAUCACAACUCCAAACCCAUGUGAACUUACCAGUGUUGCCUCGGCGGGUUCCAAGCCCCUCCUCGGAGGGCUUGGGCUCACGGCCCGCCGGUGGUUUUUACAAACUCUUUGUAUUAAUUUGCAAUCUGAGCGUUACUUUUAAAUAAGUCA